rnacentral:lncRNA from 1 species
AAUUAAUAUUUGAGCUUUAUGAGGUUUACAUGUUGAACGUAUACGUUCAAACUGAGAAUGGGAAGUGGUAGUGACGAAGGUGUUGAAAUGAUGAGAUUGAAGAAGACCAUGAAUAUAUUUACAGCUAUUAUGUUUCGGACAGAGAAUGGGCCCAAUGAUGGAUUCAUGUUAUUUGCCAAAUACAAAUUCGUAAAUGAUUUUAAAUGGGCUGGUUUAUUUAGAGUGACAUAAGAUCAAAUAUGACGUGGCAAAUAUGUUGUUUCUUAUUGGCUGAUUUAAAAUGAGGACGUGGGCUACUCCUCAUAUAUCCCUUUUAGUAUUAGUUAGAUUAUCUUCUUUAGGAUCGACCCAUGUUCAUUGUUCGUAUUUCUGUGUUUCUUUGUC